GUUACAGACGGACCCUUGUGGGGUCGAAGC
rfam:Natrinema sp. J7-2, complete genome.